GUGAGCGUAGCUCAGCUGGUAGAGCACGGGACUGUGACUCCCGGGGUCGCGGGUUCAAAACCCGUCGCUCACC
rnacentral:tRNA from 1 species